rnacentral:tRNA from 1 species
UCCCUGAUGGUCCAGUGGCUAAAACUUUGCACUCCCAAUGCAGGGGUCCCAGGUUCAAUCCCUGGUCAGGGAA